UACGAAGGACCCAAGCGUUAUCCGGAUUUAUUGGGUUUAAAGGGUGCGUAGGCGGGUUGUUGAGUCAGUGGUGAAAGCUCCGAGCCUAACUCGGAAACUGCCAUUGAUACUGACGAUCUUGAGUACAUUUGAGGUGGGCGGAAUGUGUCAUGUAGCGGUGAAAUGCUUAGAUAUGACACAGAACACCGAUUGCGAAGGCAGCUCACUAAACUGUAACUGACGCUGAGGCACGAAAGCGUGGGGAGCAAACAGG
rnacentral:rRNA from 1 species